CGGAACGCGAUGGACGCAGAGGCGGAGACAGGGGGUGCGAGCAGGGGUUGGACACCCCCCAUCGCCUCGCCUCCUCUAUGUGUUUUGCUUACCAGGAACUUGUACUCGCAUGUCUUUUUGAUUUAUUUUAUUAUUCGUGGGCUAACACGACCACUUUCCAUCCCAACAUGAGAAAGCAUUGUAUGAUGCCUUGAUAACUAGAUGUACGCAUCAGAAACUGGGAUUGCAUUGCAUGUAGCCGUGAGAUCUGGUAGUCAGUUCCCUGUAA
rnacentral:lncRNA from 1 species